rnacentral:rRNA from 1 species
UACGGAGGGUGCGAGCGUUAAUCGGAAUUACUGGGCGUAAAGCGCAUGCAGGUGGUUUGUUAAGUCAGAUGUGAAAGCCCGGGGCUCAACCUCGGAAUUGCAUUUGAAACUGGCAGACUAGAGUACUGUAGAGGGGGUAGAAUUUCAGGUGUAGCGGUGAAAAUGCGUAGAGAUCUGAAGGAAUACCGGUGGCGAAGGCGGCCCCCUGGACAGAUACUGACACUCAGAUGCGAAAGCGUGGGGAGCAAACAGGAUUAGAUACCCUGGUAG